UACUUUUUGGCUAAUUUCACGUUCUAUCUAUUUGGCAGUUACAAGAUGCUGGAUGCUGGACUGAUGCUGCAACAUUAGCGGCAACACAUUUAAAAGGAACUGAUUAUGCAAGGGUUUUGCUAAGGUGGGCUCAGCAUGUUCUUCAUUCUGAACACAACAUUUGGAGGGCACUUAUCUUGUAUGUUGCUGCUGGUGCAUUGCCAGAGGCAUUGGCUGCUCUUCGUGGGGCACAACAACCAGAUACAGCAGCCAUGUUUAUACUUGCUUGCCGGGAAAUCCAUAGUGAAUAUCUAUCUAGCUUGGAUGAUGAAUUAAGAUCUUCAGAUAAGUUGGUUAACUUGCCGGGACUGAACCCAGAAAGUGAAGAUGUCAUUGCAGUCGGUGAAUACUAUGGACAAUACCAGAGAAAACUAGUCCAUCUUUGCAUGGACUCCCAACCAUUCUCUGACUGAGAAAAACUUGGUUGGCAUAUCUUUUGCAGUGCGUCUUAAGAUAUCGGGCUCAACUAUCCGAGUCACCAAGACAAGCUUCCCUUCCCCCGAACCAUACAUUUGAGCCUAAACCUCGAGACAUUUAAGCGCCAAGAGCCUUGCCGGAACUACAGUUUGGUAUCAGUUUGAAAAUAUUUGGCCUGUCGCACUUAUCCAAUAGAGAAAGUAAUCUGCAGUUCUUUGUGGGUCAAUCCUGACUGAAUUGGUGACGACGCUUUUAACCUGGUGGGAGAUGUUUUUUUGACAUGUAUACUACCACUCGUAAAUUCAUUCCACUGAGAUGAACGAUUGUUCUGUUUAGAAGUUUGUUCCUUAAUACACGUCCUUUGAAAGCUAGCCAGAUUACAAGAUCAAUUCUUUUGUAUUAAAUGGAACUGCUGUAUAUUGAUUGAUUGACUAUAAUUAUAUAAUAGGCAUUGAAUCAUUGAGUUCA